rnacentral:rRNA from 1 species
CCGAGAAAAGCUUCGGCGUCAGGCUCAAAGCCGCCCGUACCCCAAACCGACACUGGUGGUCAGGUAGAGAAUACCAAAGCGAUCGAGCGAAUCCUGGUCAAGGAACUCGGCAAAUCACUCCCGUUCCUUCGGUUUAAGGGAGACCCCCGAUGGUGAACACACUUGCUGUGGGAGCUUUUGGGGGUGGCACAGACCAGGGGGUAGCGACUGUUUACCAAAAACACAGGUGCAUGCGAAGGCGCAAGCCGCUGUAUAUGCACUGACGCCUGCCCGGUGCCGGAAGGUUAAGAGGAUCCGUCAGCCUUCGGGUGAAGCGGUGAAUUCAAGCCCCGGUAAACGGCGGUGGUAACUAUAACCAUCCUAAGGUAGCGAAAUUCCUUGUCGGGUAAGUUCCGACCUGCACGAAUGGCGUAACGACUUCCCCACUGUCUCGACCAGGAGCUCGGCGAAAUUGCAGUACGAGUAAAGAUGCUCGUUAAGCGCAGAAGGACGAAAAGACCCCGGGACCUUUACUAUACCUUGGUAUUGGCAUUCGGUGUGGAUUGUUAGCAUAGGCGGGAGGCCGAGAGGCGCGGUCGCCAGAUCGCGCGGAGCCGUAAGGUGAAAUACCGCUCUGUUCGCAUUGGAUGUCUAACCUCGAACAGUCAUCCUGUUCAGGGACAGUGCCUGGCGGGUAGUUUAACUGGGGCGGUUGCCUCCCAAAGAGUAACGGAGGCGCCCAAAGGUCCGCUCAGCCCGGUUGGCAAUCGGGUGGCGAGUGCAAGUGCACAAGCGGGCUUGACUGCGAGGACGACGGUCCGAGCAGGGACGAAAGUCGGGACUAGUGAUCCGGUGCCGGUGUACGGACGCGGCAUCGCUCAACGGAUAAAAGGUACCCCGGGGAUAACAGGCUGAUCAUUCCCAAGAGUCCAUAUCGACGGGAUGGUUUGGCACCUCGAUGUCGGCUCGUCGCAUCCUGGGGCUGGAGCAGGUCCCAAGGGUUCGGCUGUUCGCCGAUUAAAGCGGCACGCGAGCUGGGUUCAGAACGUCGUGAGACAGUUUGGUCUCUAUCCUCUGCGCUCGUUGGAAUGCUGAGGAGGCCUGCCCAUAGUACGAGAGGACCUGGGUGGACGAACCUCUGGUAUGCCGGUUGUCACGCCAGUGGCACGGCCGGUUGGCUACGUUCGGAAGGGAUAACCGCUGAAAGCAUCUAAGCGGGAAGCCUGCUCCAAGAUAAGCAUUCCGUGGAACCUUCGAGUUCCUGUAGUCCCCAUGCAGAACACGUGGUCGAUAGGCCGGACGUGGAAGCCCCGCGAGGGGUGGAGCCGACCGGUACUAACGGACGAAAGGC